UACAGCAUACUAUUGUGUUUUUGACGAGAUCAUUACAACAGAGCCUAACCUCUGCCUGCAUGUCAGUGACAUGUCGACAAGUUUUACAUCGGGUUUUUCUGUCUGUGGCAUGGCCUACGUAUCCAUCUGUUCCCUCACUUUUGCAAUUGGGACUCGCCCUCUUCCAGCAGGGCUAAUGGAUUCUGACUAUCAGCUGUUUGCCCAGGUAGUCUUUGAACGCCAAGAUGCGAAGGUCUCGUCCAUCCGGUUGCUCCAAGCGUCUGCGGCCAGGUUCUGUCUGCACCCUUGAUAUUUCAAGUGCCAUUAGCGAAUCAGCUUCAAAAUUUUCAACAUCAGUACCAGUUGCCAAUGCUGGCAUGCAGACGAGAUGCACAACCAGUGGUGACAAUUGCUUCUCUUCUGAAAGCUUGUGCCUGACAAUUCAAGCCCUGCAUCUGCUUCAUAGCAGCUUAUUUCAUUGUCAAGCAGUCUGGACUUGAAGGAUCCUGCUGUUGCGUUUUCUGCUAGCAGUGACAGGAGUGGGAGGACUCAGGGCGUAAAAGAAAGGUAAGCGAAUCAGAUAGUGAUGAUGGUCGUAAGUCAAGCACCAUAUGGCCUCGAUUUCAUCAACACAUCGUCAGCGACGACAGGAGUGAGCAUGACAGAGGUGAAAAAUGAGCACAGAAGUUUAGUGUGGCAGAGACAAACCCUGUUGUCAAGAAAGACCUCUUUCUUCAAAGAGUUACUGUUCAUAUGGUUGACACUGAAAAGAAGGCUGAUAAAAAUUACAUCAGUCAGAAAGACAACACGAGAAGGAAAUUUGUAGACAGGGAUAUUAGUUCAGCUUCUAUGAGCAGUGAAUGUCUCCAGAAGCAGGCAACAGGCAACUUUAAUUUGGCUUAAUUAACUCAUCAAGAAUAUUGCUUAGAAAAGUCAA